UACGGGGGGGGCAAGCGUUGUUCGGAAUUACUGGGCGUAAAGGGCUCGUAGGUGGCCAACUAAGUCGGACGUGAAAUCCCUCGGCUUAACCGGGGAACUGCGUCCGAUACUGGUUGGCUUGAGUUUGGGAGAGGGAUGCGGAAUUCCAGGUGUAGCGGUGAAAUGCGUAGAUAUUGGGAGGAACACCAGUGGCGAAGGCGGCUCACUGGACUGGUACUGACGCUGAUGCGCGAAAGCGUGGGGAGCAAACAGG
rnacentral:rRNA from 1 species